rnacentral:rRNA from 1 species
GGGUGCGAUCAUACCAGCACUAAAGUACUGGAUCCCAUCAGAACUCCGCAGUUAAGCGUGCUUGGGCGAGAGUAGUACUGGGAUGGGUGACCUCCUGGGAAGUCCUCGUGUUGCACCCC